GGCCCUGUGGUCUAUUGGCAACGACACCGGCCGGCUUCAGACUCUAAAAUUAUGAGAAUGCGGUAGCCGGAGGUAGUGGGUUCGAAUCUCGCCAGGGCAG